rnacentral:rRNA from 1 species
AUUGAACGCUGGCGGCAUGCCUUACACAUGCAAGUCGAACGGCAGCACGGGGGCAACCCUGGUGGCGAGUGGCGAACGGGUGAGUAAUAUAUCGGAACGUGCCCACGAGUGGGGGAUAACGUAGCGAAAGUUACGCUAAUACCGCAUACGAUCUAUGGAUGAAAGCGGGGGAUCGCAAGAUCUCGCGCUCAUGGAGCGGCCGAUAUCUGAUUAGCUAGUUGGUGGGGUAAAGGCCUACCAAGGCAUCGAUCAGUAGCUGGUCUGAGAGGACGACCAGCCAUACUGGAACUGAGACACGGUCCAGACUCCUACGGGAGGCAGCAGUGGGGAAUUUUGGACAAUGGGGGCAACCCUGAUCCAGCAAUGCCGCGUGAGUGAAGAAGGCCUUCGGGUUGUAAAGCCUUUGUCAGGAGAACGGUAUUCCUAAUACGAGUGACUAAUGACGGUACCUGAAGAAUAAGCACCGGCUAACUACGUGCCAGCAGCCGCGGUAAU